UGGGGGAUAUUGCACAAUGGGGGGAACCCUGAUGCAGCGACGCCGCGUGGGUGAAGAAGCGCCUCGGCGCGUAAAGCCCUGUCAGCAGGGAAGAAAAUGACGGUACCUAAAGAAGAAGCCCCGGCUAACUACGUGCC
rnacentral:rRNA from 1 species